UUCCUAGUGAGAGAGAGACUCUGGGACAGGUGAGUGAGGAGUAACUUCCUUCCCUGCACCUUAUCCUGGAGUACAAGCAAAUCCAUCACACCAAUAAGCUAUCAAAUGGCUGAAGUGGAGGCAGGCAUCAAGCCCGGGACAGAGACAACAUGCAGCAUCACUAGGGAGAGGAGAGAAGGAAUCAUUGCAUCUUGUGUCUCUGUUUUCCAAACGGUGUGGACGGUCUAUCCCAAAGUGAACUGAUACCUUUUGAGAAGGUGACGACCCAGUCCCAACAUCUGAUAGUUAAGAACUGGGGUAGACGUACUUGAGGAUAAUCCGGAAUGGAACGGGUGUUGGUGUCACCUUGCAAGGAGUAACGAGGCUGGUGGAAGCCAAGGUGAGACUUUUAUGCUCGUAGGCUGGCUACUGGUGUCAGGGCUCUGAGCCAUAGCAACACAGCAUUAAGGCACCCAAGGGUUCAGGGCAGGUGGUGACU